GACGAACGCUGGCGGCGUGCCUAAUACAUGCAAGUCGAGCGAAGUUUUUCUGGUGCUUGCACUAGAAAAACUUAGCGGCGAACGGGUGAGUAACACGUAAAGAACCUGCCUCAUAGACUGGGACAACUAUUGGAAACGAUAGCUAAUACCGGAUAAAGGUAUUUCUGGCUUGAGGGAUAUUUAAAGGUUGUUUAUGCUACAACUAUAGAAUGCCUUUGCGGUGCAUUAGCUAGUUGGUGGGGUAAAGGCCCACCAAGGCGACGAUGCAUAGCCGACCUGAGAGGGUGAUCGGCCACACUGGGACUGAGACACGGCCCAGACUCCUACGGGAGGCAGCAGUAGGGAAUCUUCCGCAAUGGGCGAAAGCCUGACGGAGCAACGCCGCGUGAGUGAAGAAGGAUUUCGGUUCGUAAAGCUCUGUUGUUAGGGAAGAAUGGAUAUGUAGUAACUAUACAUGUAAGAGACGGUACCUAACCAGAAAGCCACGGCUAACUACGUG
rnacentral:rRNA from 1 species